GUGUUGUAUGAAAGGAGAUCCCUUCCAUCCCUUGACAAGGAUGGAAGAGGCCCUUGUGGCCUUCAACACACAUAUUGUUAAGGCAUUGCCAUCUACUUUGUGGCAUCUCUAACCAAGUUUU
ensembl:snRNA U6atac minor spliceosomal RNA